GUGCUCACUUCGGCAGCACAUAUAGUAAAACUGGAACAGUAUGGAGAAGAUUAGCAUGACCAUGCGCCAGGAUGACAUGCAAAUUCAUGAAGUGUUCCAUAUUUUU
ensembl:snRNA U6 U6 spliceosomal RNA